rnacentral:tRNA from 1 species
AGGGGUAUAGCUCAGUUGGUAGAGCGACGGUCUCCAAAACCGUAGGUCGCGGGUUCAAGUCCUGCUGCCCCUG